AUCAUUUUUAUCUUCAGCUUCUGUUGUUUAUUCUUAUGACAAAGAUGAUAGCCAACGUUCUAAGCCUUUGUUAGUUCAGAUGGAUUGCAAUUAUCAUGGAUAUGUUGCAGGUUUUCCAAAUUCUCGUGUGUCACUCAACACUUGUUCAGGACUCAGGGGGACAUUGCAGUUUAAAAACAUCUCAUAUGGAAUCGAACCCAUGGAGGCUUUAUCUGGAUUUGUGCACAUGAUUUAUAAGGAAAAAAAUGAUAACACUAAUAUUCCCCUCUUAGGAGACAAUGACACUUACAGCCGU